rnacentral:rRNA from 1 species
GAACUUCCGUUAAUUGAUCAGGACGUGCUUGCACUGAAUGAGAUUUUAACACGAAGUGAGUGGCGGACGGGUGAGUAACACGUGGGUAACCUGCCCAGAAGCAGGGGAUAACACCUGGAAACAGAUGCUAAUACCGUAUAACAGAGAAAACCGCCUGGUUUUCUUUUAAAAGAUGGCUCUGCUAUCACUUCUGGAUGGACCCGCGGCGCAUUAGCUAGUUGGUGAGGUAACGGCUCACCAAGGCGAUGAUGCGUAGCCGACCUGAGAGGGUAAUCGGCCACAUUGGGACUGAGACACGGCCCAGACUCCUACGGGAGGCAGCAGUAGGGAAUCUUCCACAAUGGACGCAAGUCUGAUGGAGCAACGCCGCGUGAGUGAAGAAGGGUUUCGGCUCGUAAAGCUCUGUUGUUAAAGAAGAACGUGGGUGAGAGUAACUGUUCACCCAGUGACGGUAUUUAACCAGAAAGCCACGGCUAACUACGUGCCAGCAGCCGCGGUAAUACGUAGGUGGCAAGCGUUAUCCGGAUUUAUUGGGCGUAAAGCGAGCGCAGGCGGUCUUUUAAGUCUAAUGUGAAAGCCUUCGGCUCAACCGAAGAAGUGCAUUGGAAACUGGGAGACUUGAGUGCAGAAGAGGACAGUGGAACUCCAUGUGUAGCGGUGAAAUGCGUAGAUAUAUGGAAGAACACCAGUGGCGAAGGCGGCUGUCUGGUCUGUAACUGACGCUGAGGCUCGAAAGCAUGGGUAGCGAACAGGAUUAGAUACCCUGGUAGUCCAUGCCGUAAACGAUGAUUACUAAGUGUUGGAGGGUUUCCGCCCUUCAGUGCUGCAGCUAACGCAUUAAGUAAUCCGCCUGGGGAGUACGACCGCAAGGUUGAAACUCAAAAGAAUUGACGGGGGCCCGCACAAGCGGUGGAGCAUGUGGUUUAAUUCGAAGCUACGCGAAGAACCUUACCAGGUCUUGACAUCUUCUGCCAACCUAAGAGAUUAGGCGUUCCCUUCGGGGACAGAAUGACAGGUGGUGCAUGGUUGUCGUCAGCUCGUGUCGUGAGAUGUUGGGUUAAGUCCCGCAACGAGCGCAACCCUUAUUACUAGUUGCCAGCAUUCAGUUGGGCACUCUAGUGAGACUGCCGGUGACAAACCGGAGGAAGGUGGGGACGACGUCAAAUCAUCAUGCCCCUUAUGACCUGGGCUACACACGUGCUACAAUGGAUGGUACAACGAGUCGCGAAACCGCGAGGUUUAGCUAAUCUCUUAAAACCAUUCUCAGUUCGGACUGUAGGCUGCAACUCGCCUACACGAAGUCGGAAUCGCUAGUAAUCGCGGAUCAGCAUGCCGCGGUGAAUACGUUCCCGGGCCUUGUACACACCGCCCGUCACACCAUGAGAGUUUGUAACACCCAAAGCCGGU